UACGUAGGGUGCGAGCGUUGUCCGGAAUUAUUGGGCGUAAAGAGCUCGUAGGCGGUCUGUCGCGUCGGGAGUGAAAACUCAGGGCUUAACCCUGAGCCUGCUUCCGAUACGGGCAGACUAGAGGUAUGCAGGGGAGAACGGAAUUCCUGGUGUAGCGGUGAAAUGCGCAGAUAUCAGGAGGAACACCGGUGGCGAAGGCGGGUCUCUGGGCCGAUACUGACGCUGAGGAGCGAAAGCGUGGGGAGCGAACAGG
rnacentral:rRNA from 1 species